AUUGAACGCUGGCGGCAGGCCUAACACAUGCAAGUCGAGCGGAUGAAGGGAGCUUGCUCCUGGAUUCAGCGGCGGACGGGUGAGUAAUGCCUAGGAAUCUGCCUGGUAGUGGGGGAUAACGUCCGGAAACGGGCGCUAAUACCGCAUACGUCCUGAGGGAGAAAGUGGGGGAUCUUCGGACCUCACGCUAUCAGAUGAGCCUAGGUCGGAUUAGCUAGUUGGUGGGGUAAAGGCCUACCAAGGCGACGAUCCGUAACUGGUCUGAGAGGAUGAUCAGUCACACUGGAACUGAGACACGGUCCAGACUCCUACAGGAGGCAGCAGUGGGGAAUAUUGGACAAUGGGCGAAGGCCUGAUCCAGCCAUGCCGCGUGUGUGAAGAAGGUCUUCGGAUUGUAAAGCACUUUAAGUUGGGAGGAAGGGCAGUAAGUUAAUACCUUGCUGUUUUGACGUUACCAACAGAAUAAGCACCGGCUAACUUCGUG
rnacentral:rRNA from 1 species